CAGUAGCCGCGGGAACACGAAGGGUGCAAGCGUUAAUCGGAAUUACUGGGCGUAAAGCGCGCGUAGGUGGUUUGGUAAGAUGGAUGUGAAAUCCCCGGGCUCAACCUGGGAACUGCAUCCAUAACUGCCUGACUAGAGUACGGUAGAGGGUGGUGGAAUUUCCUGUGUAGCGGUGAAAUGCGUAGAUAUAGGAAGGAACACCAGUGGCGAAGGCGACCACCUGGACUGAUACUGACACUGAGGUGCGAAAGCGUGGGGAGCAAACAGGAUUAGAUACCCGCGUAGUCCCUGUCUCUUAUAC
rnacentral:rRNA from 1 species